CGGGGGCUCCGUCCCGGCCUGUUGUGGGGCUGAGCGCGGGCGGGGGCGAGGGUGUCUGAGUCAGAGCUGCAUCCUCGGAGGAAUAAACGCCAAAAUUCCCUCCUUGGCCGCUCUCACACCCCCAACCUCCGGCUUCUGCCUCACGACCGUCGAUGCUAUCAGCAUAUGUGUUCUUUAUGAAUCUCUAACAACACAUUUUCGGCCUAAACUGCACGAAAAGCCGGGGACACCCGCCGGAUCUCACACGCAGAAGAACUACCUGAGGGGCGGGGAAGAGGGGAGCAAGAAAGCGGCAAUUUUUUGCAGACUUGCUCAGGAGGCUUUGACUGAAACUCUCAGUAAGACACUCGAGGCUGAGAAUCUUCCCCGAAGCGUUUAGGACUCAAAGGCAAGUGGGAGAAAGCUUCUCUCCUUAAAGCGAGUGGGACAGCACUCGCUGAAGGCAUUUCUGUUCUGUAGGGAAAGAGGCAAGCGGCGAACGAGCCUCGUUUCCCCUCUAGGGAGCAGCGCUCGGGGAGCAGGAAUGGCGCGCUUCCGUCCAGACCAGCGGGCGCUGCCAAAGCCUGGAGCUCGCUCAGCCUUUCAGGGCAGACACAAACCCGCCAUUCGUAAGGAGCUCCCUUCCUACCACCCUAUCUCCUCCCAGCUCCCGCUGUACCCGUACGCCGCCCUGCCUCCCCUGCCCGGCCUCAGCCCCUCCAGCGAUAUGGCUGAUGGAGGGAGGGGAGGCGGCGGCUGGGGUUUCGUUCGACGCCCACCAGGGGCUGAGCGAGCCUCCUUCAGUGCGCAAACUCGGGGCACCAGAUAAAAGCUGGGCUGGCAGCUCUUACCCUGCCUCGAUGGAGCCACCACAUUCGGGUGACUGGAGAAGCAGUUAGCAGCAGCGCCAUAGACUAGCGUCCCCCCACACCUUGGGCACAGAGAGUUUGAGGCUCUAAACAGCUGCUGCUGCGGCAGGAGGGAGCCGAGGGCGCUUGGCUGGGGCUGCUCGCUCGGGUUCUGCCUGUUGUUGCGCGAAAUGGCGGCUGGCGUCUUGGUGAAAGUACACUAAAGGAAGACUUGCUGAAAUCUGAAGAGAGAAACGGGCUCAGUGACUCAAACUCCAGUGGUUCCAGAAUCUGUAAUGUAGACAGGAUAAGGAUUUUUUCUGUUCAGUUAGUGCUGUGCUUUAUUUGCUGGUUUCUCAGGGGAAAAGACUCAACAUGUUGAAUCACAGAGACGUUACUUCCUGCUGUUAUUUCCUUGCAGCUCUCCCCUCCAUGGCUGCAGGAGCUGUUUUUGCACAGUGCGUGUUCUAAGACAGGAACUUACUGGAGAUGAAGACAGAAGCCAACCAGUUCUGUGCUGAAUGUAAUAGGUUCUGACUCAAAUUGUGUGGUAAUUGUCAAAAUAUCUUAGGGUGUGGUAGGAUCUGCUGUGUCAAACAUGGCCGAUGAUUUAUUCCCACAUAAUUUGCCUAGAUGAGUAUAAUCUGAAUUAACAUAUGAAAUGGGGAAAAAGAUUUCUUGAUGGUUUCUAGCCACUUGAAACCUGAUUGUGGGCAAAAAUAAAUUUCAGUAUGCUUGAGUA